rnacentral:rRNA from 1 species
UACGUAGGGUGCGAGCGUUGUCCGGAAUUAUUGGGCGUAAAGGGCUCGUAGGCGGUUUGUCGCGUCGGGAGUGAAAACCAGGUGCUUAACACCUGGCUUGCUUUCGAUACGGGCAGACUAGAGGUAUUCAGGGGAGAACGGAAUUCCUGGUGUAGCGGCGAAAUGCGCAGAUAUCAGGAGGAACACCGGUGGCGAAGGCGGUUCUCUGGGAAUGACCUGACGCUGAGGAGCGAAAGUGUGGGGAGCGAACAGG